UCUAUCUGCUCAACAUCUCUCUCUAACUCUGUCUCUCUCCCUCUUCCUCUCUUUUUUUCUUUUUUUUCACCAAAUAAGAUAUAGCCUCGGAUUUCUUAACGAUCGGGAGUCCAAACAAUAUCCGAUCGUCCCGAAAUUUUAUCCGAAGGUAGAAGACUCGUAAAGUAUCAUUCGUACCGAAGGAGAUCAAAUUUUAACGGUUAGAUUUUCCAGUAUUAAUUUCGGAAGUGGUUGUCGUUGUCUACAGUGUCAGUGUUGGUUUUGUACACGAUCGGAGGUUCAAACAUUGUCCGAUCGUUCUGAAAUUUUAAAGGAAGAGGUAGAAUUAAGGGGAGUGUUUGUUGGCGGAGCUCCCAGGAUAAGCAUACACAAACCGAACCAGCCCGGCGGUUAACCGACAGUUUGAACCGGCCUGCGGUUUCGCGGUUCAAGCGGGCCGGUUCAGGUUCGUGAAAAUCAUGAACCGUGAACCGGCGGUUCAAGAGUCCCAACGGGCAGAUUCCGGCUAGGGGCGUAGGGUUGCAGGUGGCAGAGCGUAGGGUGCAGCGUAUAG